GUGGGGCUUCGGCCCUCUCGAGAUAGAACCCUUGCCUUUUUGAGUACCUUUCGUUUCCUCGGCAGGCUCGCCUGCCAAUGGGGACCCCAAUAAACCCUUUGUAAUACCUGUAAUCGUCUGACAAAACAAACAAAAAUUAAAACUUUCAACAACGGAUCUCUUGGUUCU
rnacentral:misc_RNA from 1 species